AGCAUAUCAAUAAGCGGAGGAAAAGAAACCAACAGGGAUUGCCCUAGUAACGGCGAGUGAAGCGGCAACAGCUCAAAUUUGAAAUCUGGCCCUCGGGUCCGAGUUGUAAUUUGUAGAGGAUGCUUUUGGUGAGGUACCUUCCGAGUUCCCUGGAACGGGACGCCAUAGAGGGUGAGAGCCCCGUCUGGUUGGAUACCGAUCCUCUGUAAAGCUCCUUCGACGAGUCGAGUAGUUUGGGAAUGCUGCUCUAAAUGGGAGGUAUAUGUCUUCUAAAGCUAAAUAUUGGCCAGAGACCGAUAGCGCACAAGUAGAGUGAUCGAAAGAUGAAAAGCACUUUGAAAAGAGAGUUAAAAAGUACGUGAAAUUGUUGAAAGGGAAGCGCUCAUGACCAGACUUGGGCUUGGUUGAUCAUCCAGGGUUCUCCCUGGUGCACUCUUCCAGCUCAGGCCAGCAUCAGUUCGCCGCGGGGGAUAAAGGCUUUGGGAAUGUGGCUCCUCCGGGAGUGUUAUAGCCCACUGCGUAAUACCCUGUAGUGGACUGAGGUUCGCGCAUCUGCAAGGAUGCUGGCGUAAUGGUCAUCAGCGAC
rnacentral:rRNA from 1 species